GCUAACAUGCAGUCGAGCGAUCUCUUCGGAGAGAGCGGCGGACGGGUGAGUAACGCGUGGGUAACCUGCCCUGUACACACGGAUAACAUACCGAAAGGUAUACUAAUACGGGAUAACAUAUGAAAGUCGCAUGGCUUUUGUAUCAAAGCUCCGGCGGUACAGGAUGGACCCGCGUCUGAUUAGCUAGUUGGUAAGGUAAUGGCUUACCAAGGCAACGAUCAGUAGCCGACCUGAGAGGGUGAUCGGCCACACUGGAACUGAGACACGGUCCAGACUCCUACGGGAGGCAGCAGUGGGGAAUAUUGCACAAUGGGCGAAAGCCUGAUGCAGCAACGCCGCGUGAGCGAUGAAGGCCUUCGGGUCGUAAAGCUCUGUCCUCAAGGAAGAUAAUGACGGUACUUGAGGAGGAAGCCCCGGCUAACUACGUGCCAGCAGCCGCGGUAAUACGUAGGGGGCUAGCGUUAUCCGGAAUUACUGGGCGUAAAGGGUGCGUAGGUGGUUUUUUAAGUCAGAAGUGAAAGGCUACGGCUCAACCGUAGUAAGCUUUUGAAACUAGAGAACUUGAGUGCACGG
rnacentral:rRNA from 1 species